CACGUAGUUAGCCGUGGCUUUCUGAUUAGGUACCGUCAAGACGUGCAUAGUUACUUACACAUUUGUUCUUCCCUAAUAACAGAGUUUUACGAUCCGAAGACCUUCUUCACUCACGCGGCGUUGCUCCGUCAGGCUUUCGCCCAUUGCGGAAGAUUCCCUACUGCUGCCUCCCGUAGGAGUCUGGACCGUGUCUCAGUUCCAGUGUGGCCGAUCACCCUCUCAGGUCGGCUACGCAUCGUUGCCUUGGUAAGCCGUUACCUUACCAACUAGCUAAUGCGACGCGGAUCCAUCUAUAAGUGACAGCAAGACCGUCUUUCACUGUUGAACCAUGCGGUUCAACAUGUUAUCCGGUAUUAGCUCCGGUUUCCCGAAGUUAUCCCAGUCUUAUAGGUAGGUUAUCCACGUGUUACUCACCCGUCCGCCGCUAACGUCAGAGGAGUAAGCUCCUCGUCUGUUCGCUCGACUUGCAUGUAUUAGGCACGCCGCCAGCGUUCAUCCUGAGCCAGGA
rnacentral:rRNA from 1 species